AUACACGUUUUUCUUUAGUAUAUAAAUGUACAAACAUUACAUUACGUAGAGUAAAUAAUAAAUUACUCUUAUUCUUUUUUGUCUAACCUACGAUAUUUAAUCAUUUUUUAUUAAUUACCCUCGUAUGCAUCAAUAAAUUACUUAUUUAUACAACAUACACAUUGUUAAUAUAUAGAAAUAAUCAAAUAUAAUUCAAUUUUACCUCCUCAUUGGGGACCCGAUCCCCGCAAAAUUCCCCGCGGGGAUGGGGAUGGGAGAAAUCUUCCCGCCGAUAGCUAAAUGAGGACGAGGAUGGGGAAGCAUUCCCCGGUGGGGAUUGGUCUCGUUGCCAUCCCUAAUUUGUCUUCAACCACCAUUCAAAAUGCAUCUCAUAAAUUCGCAAAUUCUUGACGUUUUGGACAAAAGCCGGUCAAACAUGUGAAAGUUUGACUAACAAGAACUUUUAAAUAUUUUGUUUAGAAAUCUGAAAAAUCAUAUGUGUAGAUUUGUUUUGAAAAAUGCUUUUUUAUCUCAUAAAUUUAUUGAAUUUUAUAAAUUUAUUGAAGUAGAAAAUAGUGGUCAAAAUUAUUCGUUGGAGACCGUGUCAUAUUCAAAACGUCAAGUAUUAUUGAACGGAGGGAGUAUUAGUCAGCACAAAACUUGUAUACUGGCCAUUUCUGGACAUACCGAAAGCGUUUCAGUGAGAAGCAAGCAGAACAAUGGUGGCAAGAGAAUCGGACGAGGGUAUAUGCACAGUAUAAUGUUCGUGUGGUCGAGAAAUCAAAUGGCAGUAUUGAUAACGAUGCACCUCAUUGACAAAAGGAAUUGACUUGCCCGGUCAUGAGAACGCUCUCGCUGGUCAUGCAUGGCUGGUCGGUGACGUGGCUAUUAUUAUAUUAAUUAUGCCCGAAAUUGGAGGGGCCUGCUGUUUGGGAAACUAGCAGGUCUCCCUGAUCAUUGAUGGUUGACAUUAUCUACGAACAGCGAAUCAAACGGCUGACGUUUCUUUAGAUGAUGUGGCAAAGCCAGAGAUAAGCGAUAGUAAUUGCGGCUAGUUGGAACUUAGAAUAUAUAUAGAUUGGGGGUUUGCAUUUUUUCUCUCUACCUCUUCCUCGUGUGUGAAAAGUAGAGUGCUUAAGGAGAGGUAUUGUAAAUGCUUAGUGGCAGCUGCCUGAUCUGUCUUGUAUAUGCACGAGGAAGCGCAUUAUUUUUAGAAUAUGUUCUUCCUACUUUUCGAUUGGUUUUCAAAUAUAGGUCCAAAUUCGAAGUGA